UGGACUGAAACGGAAGGACUCGUAGUGAAAGACCGCUUCUGAUCGACGAUAUAUCUUUUUUCUUCCCCUCCGCUGCCCGCGAGUGGCGUUCCGCGCCCCCCUGUCAUGAACUUCAGCCCGCAAGAGGACGAAGAAGGAAGGCCUCGCUCUCCUCUCUCUGCCUCGCUCUCCGCUCUCUCCCUCCUUCUCCCUGCAUUCUUUCACCAGCCAGGCGCUUCUCCGGUUUUUUCCUCCCUCCUCGGUUCGGAUUUUCGGGGGGUCCCCUGCUCUCCUCUCUUCUGAGCGCAACCCCCCCCCACCACCACCACCAUCACGCCCCCCAGCCCCCACCCCCUCCUCCCAGGGGGGCCGAGCGGACUCUCCGCACCGCGAGAGAGCGAGAGGGAGAGGGAGAGAGAGGAGGCUGGGGAAUGGGAGCAGGAGGAGGAGAGCGAGGGAGCGAGGGAGAGGAGAGGACGGAGGAGCGCUGUGGAAGACGAGACCCAGCCGGACAGGAGGAGAGAGAAGAGAGAAAGAGGGGGCGAGAAGGGAUCUUGGGGUCGAUCGCCGCGGAGCGCCCCUGAAUCGCGGGGAACAGGCGAGGGAGCGCCGAGGAGGAGGAGGAGGAGGAAGAAAGAGGACCGCGCCGCCGACGUGAGCCGCCCUGUGCAGUGCCCGCUGUGACGACUGGCCGUGAAGUGAGGACACAGGGACAGGAGGUGCACAGCCUGAAGAAGGUGCAGCAGCCGUGCUGGAGCUUUCCGGACUUUCUCGAGGCCCGACGGAGCGUCUCCGGGACCGCGGCUUCGUUGGCGGACGUCCCUCCCCGGAAGGCGCGGCGUGGGGGCCGCCCGCGGGCGCGCGUGCCCCCGGC